GUGCCAGCAGCCGCGGUAAUACGAAGGGGGCGAGCGUUGUUCGGAAUUACUGGGCGUAAAGGGCGCGCAGGCGGCCGAUCAAGUCAGGCGUGAAAGCCCCGGGCUUAACCUGGGAAUUGCGCUUGGGACUGGUUGGCUUGAGUUCGGGAGAGGAGAGUGGAAUUCCCAGUGUAGAGGUGAAAUUCGUAGAUAUUGGGAAGAACACCGGUGGCGAAGGCGGCUCUCUGGACCGAUACUGACGCUGAGGCGCGAAAGCGUGGGGAGCAAACAGGAUUAGAUACCCUGGUAGUCC
rnacentral:rRNA from 1 species